GACGAACGCUGGCGGCGUGCCUAAUACAUGCAAGUCGAACGAACUCUGGUAUUGAUUGGUGCUUGCAUCAUGAUUUACAUUUGAGUGAGUGGCGAACUGGUGAGUAACACGUGGGAAACCUGCCCAGAAGCGGGGGAUAACACCUGGAAACAGAUGCUAAUACCGCAUAACAACUUGGACCGCAUGGUCCGAGUUUGAAAGAUGGCCUCGGCUAUCACUUUUGGAUGGUCCCGCGGCGUAUUAGCUAGAUGGUGGGGUAACGGCUCACCAUGGCAAUGAUACGUAGCCGACCUGAGAGGGUAAUCGGCCACAUUGGGACUGAGACACGGCCCAAACUCCUACGGGAGGCAGCAGUAGGGAAUCUUCCACAAUGGACGAAAGUCUGAUGGAGCAACGCCGCGUGAGUGAAGAAGGGUUUCGGCUCGUAAAACUCUGUUGUUAAAGAAGAACAUAUCUGAGAGUAACUGUUCAGGUAUUGACGGUAUUUAACCAGAAAGCCACGGCUAACUACGUGCCAGCCGCCGCAGUAAGAC
rnacentral:rRNA from 1 species